rnacentral:lncRNA from 1 species
AUAUAUUUAUACUCUAUCGCUUUAGGACAGAGGUGAUGCAGCAGCAUGCAACACAAAUUCUGACUGACUUUUUCUUUGAAACAGCAACAGUACCGGGUUAGACAUGUUUCAUUUCGGGUUCAGUGUGAUCACCUGAAGUCGCAGCCGACAAUCGCACCAUACAGCCGUACAGUGUGAGCACAGCAAUCGUGACUGCAGUCAAGUGAGCCGUCAUUUUCCAAAAGCCGCACCGAAGAUUUAAGGUGCGCGACUACGUCCGUGAGUUUUGACUUGACAUCGCAUCGAUUUAUUCAUACUGUGUGAGUUGGUAUUAAACACAAACAUCCUGUAGCGGGUGCUAUUUGCCUCAGGUCGGGAAAAAGGGGAGGGUAAGUCGACCCGCAUAUAUAGGGCUCCUUGUACGGGGGAACAAAGGUGUCGGGGUUUGGUUCCGCCCGGUGGAGUAAGGCAGGUGCACACCUUGCUCCACACUGGCGUGCAGGGAGGCCAUACAGGUAUGCGGGUUGGCUGUAGCCUACCUUUUUGUUUUAAAGUAUUUGACGGGUGGUUGAUUGACUUUGUUUUAUACAUUACAGAUGGAUGUUCAGGCAAAGAAGUAGACGGUAUUCACAAGUAGUUUGGUCACGCAGAUGCCAUGUAUUUUAAGGAUUAUUAAUUAUAUUGCAGAUCAGACUUGAUGGAUGAAUUUGUCAAAACAAAAUUAAAUGAAUGGCAGCUGGACACCCUGUUGGAUACAUUCAAAGAGCAGGAAGUGGAUGAGGAGAGUUUCCUUUUGCUGGAUGAUGCUGCCAUGCAGCAUCUUAUUCCAAAAAUUGGUCAACGUCUCAAAUUUCAAAAACAUCACAAGGAGCUUGCGAUUCGCCAAAUGUUGGGAGGUAGCCUUGAAGGGAGAUCUAUAUUAAGCACUUUGGAUGAGAAGCAAUCAAUUACAUCCAAAGAGAGGAAGCUUCUUGUGAGACUUCUGGUAUCCCACCUUAUUGAAAAACAUGGCGAAAUGCCACCCUCAGACACUAAGAUAGCACUUGCCAUGGCGUUGAUUUAUGAAUUUCCAUGUCUUAAGGAUGACACAGGCAGCAGCUAUGGAGCAUGGUACACACCUGGCCGAAAACACAGACCUGCUACAGGUUUUUUGGAGGAGCGCUUGAGAAAUGUCAGAAAGCGUAUGAGGAGCCUGAUUCGCCCGCGCCAACAGGAACCACAAGAGGACCAUGCUGUCCUUACACCAGAUUCACUUUCAUCUCCCCAAAAUAUUCGAGAGAUGGUUGCCUGGCUGAAAGCUAACAAAUAUCCAGUCUCUGAAGUGGAGGCCAAGAUGAAGGAAACCUCCAUACACAGAAGCAAAUGGAUUAGAUGUAACGGCUCCAAAACCAUCAGUGAAAUCCUGAGGGAGUUUCCCAGGCUGACAGACAAUCCUGGCAUGAUAUCGCAAGACUUUCAGCAACUUCAUCCUGAGGCAGCAGGACAAAUGUUUGAGAAGUGGCCUGCAAUUGCAGACAAAAUCUUAAAAUAUGCCCAACGAGAGGGAAAAAUAAAUGUUGUGCCAGAUGAUGUCACACCUGGUGAGAGAGCUUUAAAGGCCUUACCAAACCUGCUUCCCCCAUCACUCUUCAAAAGAGGUGGAAAAAUUGUGAGACCCACGACAGCGGAGUCUCAAAGGGCAUUUGUUAACAUGCAGCCUGUUGGAACCAAUAUAGUGGAGUACCUGACAAAUGUGGAUAACACCUUUCCACACGUUCUGUCGCUGGGACAUGAGAGAGUGUCUCAAACAUUUCUGGUUGUGGAAGGCCAUGCCAUUGAGACUGACUCGCUGCUUGAAGCUGUGGACCUGUGCUUUAAGUCUUUUUAUGUUUUUGACACGAAUUACCCAAAGGAGUGCCAACCCACAUGGGAGUUUUUGCAGCACUGCAUUUAUGAAAUAAAUGGACAAGAAUCUUCAGCUGUCAAAUUUUUGAGGACAGCCAUUGCCCAUACCUAGAGUGUGGAUUAUCUCUGAAG